rnacentral:rRNA from 1 species
GAUGAACGCUGGCGGCGUGCUUAACACAUGCAAGUCGAACGAUGAAGCCCAGCUUGCUGGGUGGAUUAGUGGCGAACGGGUGAGUAACACGUGAGUAACCUGCCCUUAACUCUGGGAUAAGCCUGGGAAACUGGUUCUAAUACCGGAUAGGAGCUUCCACCGCAUGGUGGGUGUUGGAAAGAUUUAUCGGUUUUGGAUGGACUCGCGGCCUAUCAGCUUGUUGGUGAGGUAAUGGCUCACCAAGGCGACGACGGGUAGCCGGCCUGAGAGGGUGACCGGCCAAGCUGGGACUGAGAUAAGGCCCAGACUCCUCCGGGAGGCAGCAGUGGGGAAGAUUGCACAAUGGGCGCAAGCCUGAUGCAGCGAAGCCGCGUGAGGGAUGACGGCAUUCGGGUUGUAAUCCUCUUUCAGUAGGGAAGAAGCGAAAGUGACGGUACCUGCAGAAGAAGCACCGGCUAACUACGUG